ensembl:lncRNA
CUCCAACAACCACUACGGAGUCUCCAACAACAAUUACAGAGGCUACAACCACAACUACAGCUGCUCCAACAACCACUACAGAGGCUCCAACAACGACUACCGAGGCUAUAACCACAACUACAGCUGCCCCAACUACAACUACAGCUGCUGCAACAACAACAACAGAGUCUCCAACAACAACGACUACAGAGGCUACAACCACAACUACAGCUGUCGCAACUACUACUACAGCUGUUCCAACAACUACAGAGUCUCCAACAACAACAACAGAGGCUACAACCACAACUACAGCUGUAGCAACAACAACAACAGAGUCUCCAACAACAACAAUAACAGAGGCUACAACCACAACCACAGCUGUCGCAACAACAACUACAGCAGCUCCGACAACCACUACAGAGGGUACAACAACCACUAUAGAGCCAACAACCACAACUACAGCUGCCCCAACUACAACUACAGUUGCUGCAACAACAACAACAGAGUCUCCAACAAUGACUACAGAGGCUACAACCACAACUAUAGCUGUCGGAACAACUACAACUACAGUUGCUGCAACAACAACAACAGAGUCUCCAACAACAACGACUACAGAGGCUACAACCACAACUACAGCUGUCGCAACUACUACUACAGCUGCUCCAACAACCACUACAGAGGCUACAACAACGACUACAGAGGCUACAACAAGAACUACAGCUGCCCCAACUACAACUACAGCUGCAGCAACAUCUACAGAGUCUCCAACAACAACUACAGUGGCUACAACCACAACUGCAGCUGUCGCAACUACUACUACAGCUACUCCAACAACCACUACAGAGGCUACAACAACGACUACAGAGGCUACAAUAACAACUACUGCUGCCCCAUCUACAACAGCAGCUGCUGCAACAACAACUACAGAGUCUCCAACAACAACGACUACAGAAGCUGCAACAACAACUACAGCUGUCGCAACUACUACUACAGCUGCUCCAACAACCACAACAGAGGCUACAACAACAACUACAGCUGCCCCAACUACAACUAAAGUUGCUGCAACAACAACAACAGAGUCUCCAACAACAACGACUACAGAGGCUACAACCACAACUACAGUUGUCGCAACUACUACUACAGCUGCUCCAACAACCACUACAGAGGCUACAACAACAACUACAGAGGCUACAACCACAACUAUAGCUGCCCCAACUACAACAACAGUUGCUGCAACAACAACUACAGAGUCUCCAACAACAACGACUACAGAAGCUACAACCACAACUACAGCUGCCCCAACUACAACAACAGCUGCUGCAACAACUACAGAGUCUCCAACAACAACGACUACAGAAGCUACAACAACAACUACAGCUGUCGCAACUACUACUACAGCUGCUCCAACAACCACUACAGAGGCUACAACAACGACUACAGAGGCUACAACAAGAACUACAGCUGCCCCAACUACAACUACAGCUGCAGCAACAUCUACAGAGUCUCCAACAACAACUACAGUGGCUACAACCACAACUGCAGCUGUCGCAACUACUACUACAGCUACUCCAACAACCACUACAGAGGCUACAACAACGACUACAGAGGCUACAAUAACAACUACUGCUGCCCCAUCUACAACAGCAGCUGCUGCAACAACAACUACAGAGUCUCCAACAACAACGACUACAGAAGCUGCAACAACAACUACAGCUGUCGCAACUACUACUACAGCUGCUCCAACAACCACUACAGAGGUUACAACAACAACUACAGCUGCCCCAACUACAACUACAGUUGCUGCAACAACAACAACAGAGUCUCCAACAACAACGACUACAGAGGCUACAACCACAACUACAGCUGUCGCAACUACUACUACAGCUGCUCCAACAACCACUACAGAGGCUACAACAACAACUACAGAGGCUACAACCACAAAUAUAGCUGCCCCAACUACAACAACAGUUGCUGCAACAACAACUACAGAGUCUCCAACAACAACGACUACAGAAGCUACAACAACAACUACAGCUGUCACAAC